GCAUUUGUUUCAGCUGCUUCACCAGAAAACUACUUGCAUACAAAUAAAGGCACAGACCUUCUUCAGACAUACCAGGAGCUUACCCGCUGAAUGGAAUGGGAAAACAGGACACACAUGCAUAAAUUUACAACUCUGAUUCAGUUUAAAGUUCUGGUUAUGACCUACAAUAGCCCUGCACCCACGUACCUGCAUGACCUGCCCCUCCUGCUAUGCUAUACCACAACAGCUUUAUGCAUCUGAGCAAAGACUUUGGAAGGUGCCACCCUGCAAGUGGAUAAGACAGUGAAUUCCUUGUUCAUACCCAUUCUCUGUGGUGGCUCACAUCAUGUGGAACUGCCUGUCUGACAAAGUCAGGAAGGCCUUAUGCUUCUGUCAUUUCACAGGACGUGCAAAACAGAAAUGUUCAGGAUAUUUUUACUAUGGGAUUAGAACAACUCAGAAGGUCAGUUUUCUAAGGUACAGGGCUGUAGUCUAUUGCAAUGUUUAUUGUAUGUAUCAUCUAUUUCUACCUUUGUAACUUACUUUUGGAAUUAUGGUAUGUCACGGCUUAACAGUUUUUGUUCGCAUCGCUCUCCAAUUCUGUAAUGCCAGUCCUACAGCAUUUUUAUUGGAAGUCUGUGCUAUGUCAUUGUGUUGCUUUUAUAUUUUGUAAUUUGUUUUGAUGCAGGCUAUGAAUGAAGUAAAUAAAUCAACCAUGAACUUUG